GACGAACGCUGGCGGCGUGCUUAGCACAUGCAAGUCGAACGGAAAGGCCCUGCUUUUGUGGGGUGCUCGAGUGGCGAACGGGUGAGUAACACGUGAGUAACCUGCCCUUGACUUUGGGAUAACUUCAGGAAACUGGGGCUAAUACCGGAUAGGAGCUCCUGCUGCAUGGUGGGGGUUGGAAAGUUUCGGCGGUUGGGGAUGGACUCGCGGCUUAUCAGCUUGUUGGUGGGGUAGUGGCUUACCAAGGCUUUGACGGGUAGCCGGCCUGAGAGGGUGACCGGCCACAUUGGGACUGAGAUACGGCCCAGACUCCUACGGGAGGCAGCAGUGGGGAAUAUUGCACAAUGGGCGGAAGCCUGAUGCAGCAACGCCGCGCGCGGGAUGACGGCCUUCGGGUUGUAAACCGCUUUCGCCUGUGACGAAGCGUGAGUGACGGUAAUGGGUAAAGAAGCACCGGCUAACUACGUG
rnacentral:rRNA from 1 species